UUUUCCUGGAUGAAGGCUGGUUCCUGUGAAGGAGUGUUGUGUAGCUAGAGAUCCUAUCGCUAGUUGGAUAUAUGAAAAUUGGGAAGAGUGAGGUGUAGACUGGGUUGUUUGUGCUCCUGUUCAGAAGGACCUUGACAAGCUGGAGAGGUGGGCAAACAAAUUUCAUGAAGUUUAUCCAAGAGAAAUGUGAAGAUUAUGCACCAGGGCAGGCUGGUAGCUGAAUGCCUGGAAAGCAGUUCUACAUCAAAGACUUGGAGGUUUUAGUGGACAAUUUAUUGGCAGGGAUUCAGCUAUGUGCCUUUGCAGCCAAGAGGCCACCAUCAUCCUGAGCUGUAUUUGGAAGAGUGUUGUCGGCAGGGUGUGGGAAACAGUCCUUUCUACAUCAAGAUUCUAUUCUGGGGAAAGAGAGAGACAUGGAUAUGUUGUAAUGGUUCCAGUAAAUGAUUACAAAGAUUGCACUUGGAGCAGCAGUUGUAUGAAGAGAGAAGGAGAGCUGGGAUAAUUCAGGUUGAAGAGGAUGCUUGUGGGGAGGUAUUUUAUGUCUAAAUACACAACUAGAGUGGGGGGAAAAGGGAAGAGGGUAAUGGAAUCAAACUCUUCUUGGUAGCUUUUCUUUGGACCAAAUUAAUGUACUUCAUUUGAAUGAUUAUGCAAAUUAAUGACAGCUUCUGUUGAAGUUAUUAUACAAUCAAAACUUGAGCUAAUGGUUGAAUCUUGAUGACACUUAAAAAAAAAAAACCUUUCCUGUGUGGAGCUUGCUUAUGUACUGAAAUCAGGAGUCUUUGACCCUAUGUCAAGAAGAUGUAAGAAAACUAAUUCAUUCUUUGUUUUUGUGAUUUUUCUAUUUCUCUCCGUAUUUGCCAUGAGCCUUGUUGAUUUGUUGUUGUGUUUACUGUUAAUAGCAAAGAAUAUUUGCAAUGUAUUUUUCUAAGCUUUUUCAGUGUAUCACUGACUCUUGAUUCACAAUGAAGUUCUUCAGCCAUAUGGGAGUUGAUCUUUCUAGAUUUUCACUAUGUAUUUGUCACAGGGUUAUCUAGAUCUGAGUCUGUGAUAGGGAUAGCAGGUCCACUGACCCAGGAAGGGAAGAUGUUGUUGGUUUAUGGGCUGCUCAGCCUGGUUCUGUGACUUAUGGGGCAGGGGACCUGUGGACCCACACCCCAGGGAAAGGGGGAAGGGUAGCAAGAUGGGAGCUGGGCCUAAAAACAGAGUGGUGGUAACAGUCUGAGCAGUAAAAUUAAUUUACUAAAUCUGAUAUUGCAAUGCAAGAUUAUACAAUAUAACACAAUAUAUAAUUGGAACUGAGGCUAAUAAAUAAAAUGAGAGAAAGUGUCU
ensembl:lncRNA